rnacentral:rRNA from 1 species
GAUGAACGCUGGCGGCGUGCCUAACACAUGCAAGUCGAACGAAGCACCUUACCUGAUUCUUCGGAUGAAAGUUUGGUGACUGAGUGGCGGGCGGGUGAGUAACGCGUGGGUAACCUGCCCUGUACAGGGGGAUAACAGCUGGAAACGGCUGCUAAUACCGCAUAAGCGCACGAGGAGACAUCUCCUUGUGUGAAAAACUCCGGUGGUACAGGAUGGGCCCGCGUCUGAUUAGCUGGCUGGCAGGGUAACGGCCUACCAAGGCAACGAUCAGUAGCCGGUCUGAGAGGAUGAACGGCCACAUUGGAACUGAGACACGGUCCAAACUCCUACGGGAGGCAGCAGUGGGGAAUAUUGCACAAUGGGGGAAACCCUGAUGCAGCAACGCCGCGUGAGUGAAGAAGUAUUUCGGUAUGUAAAGCUCUAUCAGCAGGGAAGAUAAUGACGGUACCUGACUAAGAAGCUCCGGCUAAAUACGUG